GCAUGUUUUCCCAGCUCAAGGAGAGAUGAGCCUGUUCUCCACACUCCAGAUGUUUCCAGCCCCACAGAGCCGUCAUCGUCUAAAGCAAGCUGCCGGGCACCGAGGCUUCGGCUCCAUGGAUCAGUUAGAGAUGAGGAGAGAAGCCGGGGGAGCUGCAGGCCCUUGCUCAAGGCAACACGUCUUCUUGUCCCUGAAGCUGCUGGAAGAGAGAAACAUCCAGAAGCCUAAGUAAGAUAUUAUUUUUGCUCUGGAGGAGCUGAAAGUCUAGCUGUAACCUUGUGCAAGUCCCACGUCUCCCUGGAUCUCAUUUGUGCAACUGGAAGUUUGCAUUAAACACCAGGGUUGCACCCUUCCCACCAACAGCGUAUGAAGGCUACGGUAUCUGCACAUCCUGUUACCCCAACACUUGCUGUUCUUUGACUCUUCGAUGACAGCUGUCCUCACGGGUGUGAAGUGGUAUCUUGUUGUGGACUUGGUUUGCAGCUCUCGGAUAACCAGUUGUGUCGAGCGUCUUUUCACGGGCUCAUCGGCCACUUGGAUAUCACCGUUGGAGAAAUGUCUCUUCAGAUCCUUUGCCCAUUUUUAAAUUGGGUUCUUUUUCUUUCAUUAUUGAGUUGUAAUAG